GAUUUUGGUUUUCAAGGGUUGGAUUUUUGUGCCUAACGAUACUAUGUUGCGGCAGUAGAUUUUAUGAGAAGCACAUAGUAGCCUUUAUGCUAUGCAUCCAGUGGACAUAAGAUGUACAAAGAUCUCCGAGAGUUAUACUAGUUAUAAUAUCCCAUUUUUCUGUGUAACAGAAUAGUGGUUUUGGAACUACGAAUUUUGAUAUGUAAAGUCAAGCUUUA
rnacentral:lncRNA from 1 species